AUGUGUGGACUGUGAAAGACAAAAAAGAACACCCAUUAAUAAGACAAGUAAGUUUCUCUCAAAGAGAAAUCAAAAAUUUCCUAAGCCAUGUUCCCAUUCUUCUCUUCUAUUUUUUCCAUACUUUGGAAGUCAAUGGGGUCAAUCAACUGUUUGGUUACAAACAUUCUUCAAAAUGUCCUUUUUUGUGUGUUCAGCAGAACAAAGAAACUCCUCGAGGUGUGGAAGAACUUAAGGAGGUGGAGUAUCCCUUUAAGGAAGCCCUGAAUAAUCAGGAUCCAUCAGGAGCACAAACGUGUUCUGUGAGACACAUGUUAAAGUGAGGCAGCAAGAGCUUUCAGACACACCUGCCGGUGACGCAGGAGAAGGGAUCUUUGGUCUCGAUGACUUCCACUAACCGUGGCUUCGUUCGGCUUCCUAGUACCCACACGCCACAUAAAUAAUCUGACCGCACAGCCACAUGACCUGCACACAGAUGUUUGACAUGCAAUAAUUUGACAUAGCAUGUAAUUGACAUUGAUUUUUUACUCUGACAUGAAGACAUUUUACCAUCAAUGCAUGAAUUUUAUUGAUUACAUUAGUUUGAUCGGUGAUCAAUGAUUCUUUCCAAAUGUAAGCUUUGUUCUCAGCCAAACCAUUUCCCACAUCUCACCUUCUUCUUCCAUUUUGCCAGGACUGAUCUGUCUGAUAGAGCCUUUCAAAUAAAACACACUAGGUUGGGGUUGCAGGACAAAACUAGGAGGCUUGUCGUCAUUAAAAUGUUGCA